CUUUAAAUCAAGAUGUCUCGGUAGGCUCUUAUGGAGUCCACUGCAACCAAGAAAGCGGCUGAUUCGGCAAAAGAUUUGAGUAUUUAACCAUAUCAUGCUCCUUGAUUCCACCUUUCUUUUGCUUCUGCACUAAAGGUUGAAACUUGACGAGGUUCUUCGGAACCACAGUUUUAUCAUUGGUGGUCACGUCUUUCUGCUCCUGGAUGGGAAGAACCGCUUUGCGAGUGGCGUCUAUUGUCUAAGGCUGCAGACUGUGGACGAGGGUACAAGAAAUCAGUGGGGAAGAAGUUGUACUCAAGGUCAGCCAUUUCUAAAAUUUCCCCAAGUCGAUGUAAAAUGAUGAGGAGUUCAGAAACAGAAAGCAGUGACUGAGAAGAGGAGAAAAUGCACCUAAAUCUUUGUCUUAUUGAUAUGCCUCUCACAACUUCACGUCUACUUAUAUAGAGGAGGAGGUACGGUUGGCUUUGCUAUGUUCAGCAUCUGAAUUCUUUCUCCGCCGAUGAAUUAUUUCUCCGCCCAUAAAAAAAUAAUAAUAAUAAAACGUGAACUUCAUUUGUUUAUUAAAUUGUAAAUAUUUCUCUCUUUUCUAUGUUACCUCAAAGUGUCCUCCGGCUCAUAUAUUUUACACACAGUUUUCACUUUCACUUUUACCUAAUUUGCAUUGCUCUCCUUUUGUCUCUGACAAGGAGAAUUUAAAGACUAGAAAGAAAAAAAGGGAAAGUAUUUCUUGGGAUAUUCAAUUAAGUUGUAAAAUACAAAAAGACGAUAUUCGAUUUCACUUCCCAGUAUGGAGUUGCCAAAGGAUCCGGUUCCCACCUAAUAAAAGGCGUGCGGCGUGCCAUUUAUAUGAAAAGAAGGUCGAAAAAUGGAUGAGAGAUGUUUACAGAGUUUGCAUGAUUGGAAGUUGCUGCAUCGUGCCUUUCAACAUCCUAUAGUUGGAAUGACUGUUUCGAAAGCUUGAACAAGAAGUUCCACUUUUCUUUUCCGGGCAGGAGUUAGUUUUGCAACAACCUGUUGAAGUGCAUAAUCAAGCAUCCAUUCCUCAGAAUUUUUUCUCUGAUCCAUCUCUUGAUGCCUUAAAUGAACCUUUUCACCUUCAGGGUCUGGCUCCAAAGGCAGAUAACAAGGCCCCUUUGGAUUAAAUUCCCUUACUUUUUCCAAUGCCUUGAUGAAUCUUUUAAGCAAGAUCCACUUUUUCAGAGUGCUCCAGCUACUUGGCAUUUCCUUGUUUGAUUUCUUUCCCACAUUCAACUCGGUUUUCUCUUUUUCUUGGGUACUGAUAUUACCAGAUGUAAGCCAUUUUUCUCCUGGAGCUGUUCUGUGGGAUUCCAUGAAGCCAUUCUUGCAAUUUGAGAGGAAUGGUUUUCCUCCCUCACUCACUUUCUCUUCUGAGAGUCCCUUAUCUUGAAUCAUCUCACUAGUGCUAAAUUCAUCCUUAGUUAAGUGGUCCUGAAUUUCUGGAAGAAGGAUUUCAUCAAUUGCCUCUUCUACCAGCUUAAUGGCUUCAGUACGGUGGAGAUCGACAUUUUGCUCAUCUGCCUCAUUAUCCCCAUCCAUGUCUUGAUUCAUUUCUGAGAAGUUUUGACUUAAACUAGAAAUGCCCAUUUCUGGCAAUGAGUUGGCAUCAUUCACUGGUUCUUCUUUACCUGCUUCAUUGAGAUGCACUGUUUGAGAGUUCUGAACUUGGAGUAAUUACCUUGGAGGCUUUUCCAUUAUCUCCAACUUCUUCAUGACAGGUGCUUACAAUGUUCUCUGGCUUCAAGGAGAAUUUAUUACAUGAGCUGGGAUCUUUGAUCUCUGAUGAACAACUAAUGAUGGAAUCAGGUUGACCUUCAGCGAGAAGUAAUUUGCUGCCGACCAUAUCAAUAUUGAUGGCAACAGUUUGCUUUUCCUUCCAGUCUUCACCAGUGUCUUGACAGGCUGUUAUAUGUUGUUCUGCUUUAAUGGAACAACAUUCCAAAGUAGUUUCUGUGAGCUCAGAAAAUUUCAUUGCAGGUAGCUGUUUGUCUGCUAGAAAAUCACUGACUUGGUCUGGAUAACCUUGGAAUAUUUCAGCUGACUCUUUAUAAUUACUUUCUUGACCUGCUCUUCCUGUGCUUUGAGUUGAAGGACCAUUACAGGCUUGAACAGUAUUUGCUCGAGUACGAAUUGCUGCAUUGGAGCUCUGGCUAAUUUCGAUUUCUGACAGUGGAAGAACUGUCUCAAAAGCUUCUACAAGCAGCGCUACUUUUCGUUUUUGAGCUGGAGCUAGUUUAGAAAUGACCUGUUGAAGUGCAUUAUCAAGCAUCCAUUCCUCGGUGUUUUUUCUCUCGUCUGUUGUUUGGUGCCUUAGAUGGACUUUUUCUGCUUCUGGAUCAGGCUUCAAGGGCAGAUAUCGUGGCCCCCGGGGGCUGAAAUCCCCCACCUUCUCCAAUGCCUUCACAAAUUUCUUGAGGAUGAUCAAUUUUUUCAAAUAGCUCCAGCUCUUGGGCAUUUUCUGGUCAGAUUCACUUUUCACAUUUGAUGCUGUUCUCUCUUCCAUGGGAGUGCUAAUACUAUCAGCUUUGACCCAUGUUUCUUCUGGUUCCUGUACCAUACUGUCUCUAGCAGGCUCACUGUAAGCUGAGAUGCUCCAUUCCUGGCCCUCGCCAUGACUCUUUUCUAAGAGGUCGUGGUCUGAACUGAUGCUACUAGCAAUUGAUUGAUCCUCCAUUGAGUGGUCUUGAAAUUCUUGCAGAAGGAUAUCAUCAAAUGCUUUUUGUACCAGCUGAAUGGCAUUAAUCUGGCUGAGCUCAUUCUUUUGGUGGUUUGCAUCAUGAUUUUCCUUUACCAUGUCCUUGCCAAUUUCAGAAAAGCCCUCAGAAGAACCGCAGUCAUUAGUGCCAAGCAAGGUGCUUGUAUCUUCCACCUGUUCUUCAUCCAAUCCAUUUAGAGGAACCUGGUUUCCAGCUUUUCUAUCGACACCUACCACUGCAUGCUUAUAUAUCAAGUGCCACAUUCUGAUAUACUUUUGAUUUUUAAACUGUGUUUUGUGUUCUACAUGAUUGGUCAUGAUGGGCUCGGAGUCCCUGUGGGUAGGGUACCGCUGAAAAAGUCCAUGGUGCGGCUUCAAAUUUCCUUUCUUGUCUUUGUCGCCUGUAAUUUGAUCCUCCAGUGGCUCAAGAUCAAAAUCAGAAGAGACCAUGCUGUUACUUCCUGUUGAUUCCACAAAUUCAUCAUCAGAUGGUCUUCUAAUUUUAACUGGUGUUUCUCCAUUUGGAAAAUUGACCCUUAAAUUUUUUCCAAAUGAUGUCGAGUCACCAUUGUAUGAGUCCUCAAUGAGAAUGGAAUUAGCCUCCCCAACUUUAUGGUUAUAUACAGCACUUUUCUCUUGUUUUCUGUCUUUGUCAGCGACUUCUGAUGGAUGAUUGUAUAGAGUUUCACUAGGCAGCCACUCAGCCUCGUAUUCAAAAUCGCCAAGGUCUUCAUCUUCUCUACUUGAACUGCCAACUCCAUUUGCUGAGCCUUUUGGUUCUUCAGCAUGGGAAUUUGCAAGCAAGUCCUGUCCUGCUUUUUGUUUGACAGGAGAGAGAGCUAUAUUACUCGCAUUACCAACUGCAGGAUCUCCAUUAUGGAGCAUUUUGCUUGACUGAAUUCCUUUCUUCAUUUUUCCGAAACGUUUGCCUUUAUGAAGUUGAUUCUUCCCUUUCAUGCUCUUCUGGGUCUUCAACAAUCUCCGCCUCAUAGAUACAAAGCGUUUCAAUGGAGGAGCUGCGUUAUGGUUAUGGCCAUGAAGGGAGCAAUAAGUAUAUCGGCAAACCCUCAUGACUAAUUUUCCUUCAGAUUCACAUUCACCAGGUUGAAGCUCGAGCUCCAAGGAAUCAGGGAAUUUUGAAUCUUUGAGAAUUGAAGAACAGGUAGCUUUAUGUAUGCUUGAGUCAGGAGAUUGACAUAUUUCAUAACAUUUCUCCAUAGAGGGCUUCUUUAAUUUGAAGGUACCCAUUUUUGUCAAGACUUUCACAGGUUUCAAACUCGAUGUUCUUGUUAUUGUAAAUCUCACAGAUUUGUUACCGGACAAAGCAUAUUUUGGCCUUGAACCACUUAAUUUUUUGCUAAGAAAACUAGAUUCAGAAUUA